rnacentral:rRNA from 1 species
GAGAGAGUUCAAGAGUACGUGAAACUGCUCAGAGGGAAACGGGUGGGCCCUCGAAGUCCGGCGGCGGGAGGAUUCAGUCGGGAGGCUCGGACGACUGCCGGGCGCGAUGCCGUGCCGCCCCCUCACUGGGGCGGAGGCCGCGCCACUCGGAGACGUCGCUUUCGGGUCUUCCGGCGCAUUUCUUUCCCGUCCAGAGGACGCCGUCACCGGUCGGGCAGCGGCCGUAGGGACGGGAGCGGGCAGGGGACCGGAGGCCCUCGGGCUUCCGGUCUUUGGCCUUCUCGUCCGGGCACGCCGCCCGACCGAGAUCGAACGAGAGACCCCCUGCGGGUCCGGCCGCCUCCAUUCCGCCCUGCGGGAGCGGACGCCGUGGCAGAACAGCCCCCGCGCCUCGGUCGCACGGGAAGAACCCGUGGACGCGAGGUCGCGCGACUACGGAAGGGCUUCGCUGGCCUCGGACUUUUCCGCGGGAGGAGGCGGUGGGCGGCGAGUAGGUCGGCAACCCACCCGACCCGUCUUGAAACACGGACCAAGGAGUCUAACAUGCGUGCGAGUCAAUGGGUCUCGAACAAGCCCAAAGGCGGAGCGAAAGCAAAUUGCGGGAGCCCUCCCGCAGAAAGUCGGGAUCCCUCUCCCUGCGUAGGAGGGGGCGCACCGACGGCCCGCCGGUUCCGCCUCGUGCGGUCCGGCGGAGUCUGAGCACGCACGUUGGUACCCGAAAGAUGGUGAACUAUGCCCGGGCGGGACGAAGCCAGAGGAAACUCUGGUGGAGGUCCGCAGCGGUCUGACGUGCAAAUCGAUCGUCAGACCCCGGUAUAGGGGCGAAA